rnacentral:rRNA from 1 species
GAUCCUGGCUCAGAAUCAACGCUGGCGGCGUGCCUCAGACAUGCAAGUCGAACGCGAAAGGCCCCUUCGGGGGCCGAGUAGAGUGGCGCACGGGUGAGUAACACGUAGGUAAUCUACCUCUGGGUGGGGAAUAACAGCCGGAAACGGCUGCUAAUACCGCAUAAUGCAGCGGCACCACAUGGUGACAGUUGUUAAAGCGGGGGAUCGUAAGACCUCGCGCCUAGAGAUGAGCCUGCGGCGGAUUAGCUAGUUGGCAGGGUAACGGCCUACCAAGGCGACGAUCCGUAGCCGGCCUGAGAGGGCGGACGGCCACACUGGCACUGACAUACGGGCCAGACUCCUACGGGAGGCAGCAGUCGGGAAUUUUGGGCAAUGGGCGAAAGCCUGACCCAGCAACGCCGCGUGAAGGAUGAAGCUUUUCGGAGUGUAAACUUCAUAAGAAUGGGACGAAUAAGGAGGGGUUAACACCCCCUUUGAUGACGGUACCAUUUGUAAGCUCCGGCUAACUCCGUGCCAGCAGCCGCGGUAAUACGGGGGGAGCAAGCGUUGUUCGGAUUUACUGGGCGUAAAGGGCGCGUAGGCGGCGCAACAAGUCACUUGUGAAAUCUCCGGGCUUAACCCGGAGCGGCCAAGUGAUACUGUCGUGCUAGAGUGCGGAAGGGGCUACUGGAAUUCUCGGUGUAGCGGUGA